GAUGAACGCUAGCAACAGGCCUAACACAUGCAAGUCGAGGGGUAGCAGGAUGUAGCAAUACAUCGCUGACGACCGGCGCACGGGUGAGUAACGCGUAUGCAACCUACCUUCUACAGGGGGAUAGCCCGGAGAAAUCCGGAUUAAUACCCCAUAAAACAGGGACUCCGCAUGGAGAUAUUUGUUAAAGAUUAAUCGGUAGAAGAUGGGCAUGCGUUCCAUUAGCCAGUUGGUGAGGUAACGGCUCACCAAAGCAACGAUGGAUAGGGGAACUGAGAGGUUUCUCCCCCACACUGGAACUGAGACACGGACCAGACUGCUACGGGAGGCAGCAGUGAGGAAUAUUGGUCAAUGGGCGCGAGCCUGAACCAGCCAAGUCGCGUGAAGGAAGACUGCCUUAUGGAUUGUAAACUUCUUUUAUAUGAGAAUAAAAAGAGUUACGUGUAACUUAUUGCAGGUAUCAUAUGAAUAAGCAUCGGCUAACUCCGUGCCAGCCGCCGCAGUAA
rnacentral:rRNA from 1 species